GUGCCCGUAGCUCAGUGGAUAGAGCGUUAGGUUGCGGACCUAAAGGUCGGAGGUUCGAGUCCUCUCGGGCACGCCA
rnacentral:tRNA from 3 species